AUGGUUCUUGUCUUCUUGAAGUUCCAUGGCACAUGCUCCCUCCUGAAUCCCAGAAACGAGUUAAUGCCCAUGUACAGCCCACAUCCGACCUCUGCACACAUACACAGAAAGAAACAAUUCGUGUUAUAAUUAGUUUAGCUGUAAUCAAUGAUUAUUACCACAGUUAACAAGAAAGAAGAUGUAAUCCCUGCAGAUAAACAGGUUAUACCAACCUUUUUGCAGAUUCUUCUAUUCUAGCAAACACCAUACAGGCAAGUUCCUGGAUUGCAAUAACACCAAUAUUAGGAAUAUCUGAUAAACAACACAACUAAUUGGUCAUUUCAGAAAACAUCAGCCACA
rnacentral:lncRNA from 1 species